rnacentral:rRNA from 1 species
AGGGUUUGAUCCUGGCUCAGAACGAACGCUGGCGGCGUGGCUAAAACAUGCAAGUCGAACGCGAAAGUUUUCUUCGGAAAACGAGUAGAGUGGCGAAAGGGCGAGGAAUACAUGGAUAACGUACCCCUGGCACAAGGAUAGCUGCGGGAAACUGCAGGUAAUACUUGAUGUCGCCAUAGUGUCUAAGGGCAUUAUGGUGAAAGGUGGGGAUCAUUAAUUUGACCUACCGGCAAGGGAGCGGUCCAUGACCUAUCAGCUAGUUGGUGAGGUAACAGCUCACCAAGGCUACGACGGGUACCGGGACUGAGAGGUUGGUCCGGCGCAUUGGGACUGAGACACUGCCCAGACUCCUACGGGAGGCUGCAGUAACGAAUAUUGCACAAUGAGCGCAAGCUUGAUGCAGCGACGCCGCGUGUGGGAGGAAGCCCUUCGGAGUGUAAACCACUGUCAGGGAUUACCAAGCAAUGAGGGUUAAUACCUCUCUGCGUUGAGGAGUCCCACAGGAAGUCACGGCUAACUUCGUGCCAGCAGCCGCGGUAAUACGAAGGUGGCGAGCGUUGUUCGGAAUCACUGGGCUUAAAGAGCACGUAGGCGGGCUAUAAAGCGUCUUGUGAAAGCCCUCGGCUCAACCGAGGAAUUGCUUGGCGAACUGAUAGUCUUGAGGCAGGUAGGGGUGCACGGAACUCUUGGUGGAGCGGUGGAAUGCGUAGAUAUCAAGAGGAACGCCGGUGGCGAAGGCGGUGUACUGGGCCUGACCUGACGCUGAGGUGCGAAAGCCAGGGGAGCGAACGGGAUUAGAUACCCCGGUGGUCCUGGCCCUAAACGAUGUUCACUAGGUCGGAGGUGUUCUGACACAGUUCCGACCAAAGCAAAAGUGUUAAGUGAACCGCCUGGGGAGUACGGUCGCAAGGCUAAAACUCAAAGGAAUUGACGGGUCUUCACACAAGCGGUGGAGCAUGUUGCUUAAUUCGAUCAACGCGAAGAACCUUAUCCUGGGCUUGACAUAUUUGAAUGCCUACUGGGAAACCAGGUCGGCUGCCCUUCGGGGUGGAACUUAUACAGGUGCUGCAUGGCUGUCGUCAGCUCGUGUCGUGAGAUGUUGGGUUAAGUCCCGUAACGAGCGAAACCCUUGUUGCUAGUUGCCAGCGCGUAAUGGCGGGGACUCUAGUAAGACUGCCGGUGUUAAACCGGAGGAAGGUGGGGAUGACGUCAAGUCCUCAUGCCCUUUAUGCCCAGGGCUGCAAACGUGCUACAAUGGCGUGUACAAACCGACGCAAGACCGCGAGGUGGAGCAAAUCGGAAAAAGCACGCCCCAGUUCGGAUUAGAGUCUGCAACUCGACUCUAUGAAGUUGGAAUCGCUAGUAAUCGUAGAUCAGCUAUGCUACGGUGAAUGUGUUCCUGAAGAUUGUACACACCGCCCGUCAAGUCAUGGAAGCCGGGAGCACCCGAAGUCGGGGCAUUUCAGCCCUGCCGAAGGUGAGUUCGGUGACUGGGACUAAGUCGUAACAAGGUA